rnacentral:scRNA from 1 species
UCGUGGUUGCGAUUUUGAAUAGCGGCGUUGCU